rnacentral:lncRNA from 1 species
GGAAUAUGCAGAGAAGAAGGAAAAUGAGGCAGAAGAGGAGAAGGAGGAAAAAACGGAGAUGAAAGAGGAGGAAAGGCGGCAGAGAAGGAAGAUGAAGAGAAAAUAGAAGAGGAGCACAAAGAAGAAGCAGAAACAGAGGGGAAGAAAGAGGAAGAGAAAUAGGCCGAGGAGGAGAAAAAUAACAAGAAGAAGGAGAAAAAAAGAGAAAAAUGAGAAGGAAAAGAAGAACAAUAGAG